CAAGGAGUCUAACAUGCGCGCGAGUCGUUGGGUCGGACACGCUCCGCUAAACCCAUUGGCGCAAUGAAAGUGAAGGCCGCCUUUGCGGGGCCGAGGGAGGACGGGGUCGGUUCCCUUCGCGGGGACGGCUCCCGCACUCCCGGGGCGUCUGAUUCCUCAUCGCGAGGGAAGGCGCACCCAGAGCGCACACGUUGGGACCCGAAAGAUGGUGAACUAUGCCCGGCCAGGACGAAGUCAGGGGAAACCCUGAUGGAGGUCCGUAGCGAUUCUGACGUGCAAAUCGAUCGUCGGAGCUGGGUAUAGGGGCGAAAGACUAAUCGAAC
rnacentral:rRNA from 1 species